AGAAGAUCACAACAGGAAACAGUUCUAAGGUAGUAGCUGUCCUCAGCCCAGCUAAGAAUAUCAUCAUUACUGUGGCUCUGUGCACUUUGAGUCAGAGGACCUACUAUGCUGACCCUGAACAUCACAAGAGAGGACAAAACAUAAAAUUAGGGAACAAAGUUCAGGCUGAGGACAGAGGUUACAGAGCCGCAGCAGUGAGCACUCAGAGCAUCUGCUGAGCCCAGUCUUAAGGGUGCUGCAGGAGCUGAAACAUGGGAAGACUGCAAGGCGAGGCUUUAUCCUCCUGCCAGAAAACAGUAUGAACCAUACCCGUAGUGAUUUGCUGCCGUCACCUGAACACCCUCUAGAGAGAGUUGAGGAACAGUUUUGAUUUUUAUGGCAAAGCAGUAUUUCUCCUGGACCACUGUUGUUAAAGUCGGAAAAGAAGGAGAGUACAAACGAGGGAACUGAAGAAAUCAAGCCUGAAGAGUAAAACAUCAAACAAUAUUUUGCUAAGAUUUUUUUCAGAAAUCACUUCCCAGCCUUUUUCCAUCCAGAAUGUGAAAGGAUGAGAAGAAGAUCAUACUGGGUCACACAUCCAUCUAGCCCUGUAUCUUAUCUCCUCCAGCAAUGACCAGUGGAGAAGGCCCAUGGAAACAUCAAUACAGGUCAUGCAAAGUGAUACGCACCCGGCCCUGCAAUUUGUGAUUCAGAAGCUUCCAGAGCAAAAGUUGAUGGCUUUGUAACAAUAAGGACAUUGCUGCAACAAAUGCCAAAGAUUUCUGCACACUAUUUAUUAAAAAGAAGUCAGUAAGAAACAGCAACUUCAUUAUUCCUGAAAUAAAUCCAAUGUGUAAAAAUCAGGAAACUUAUGCAACUAAUUUUAGCAAUAAAAACAGUACCAAGAGUAGUGUUUCUUCUGAACUUCUCAUGCCGCUUCUUUUUCAGAAUGUUAGUUAAGAAUAAAAACAAUACAAAAUCCUUAUGACAGCUGAAGACGAAACCAGAGUAAAAACUGCAACAAAUCUGUAAUUCCUCUUUGAUCAUUCCAAUGUAACAUCUGCACUUUCUUAUCAAACCAAACCACCAAAAAUAAUCUAAAUAAACAACAGUAACAACAGAAAGAAAUCCUACGACAUCCCAAGGCAACACUUCUAAGGAGUCAGAAUAUUAGAGCAUUCUAACACAUGCAUUAAGUAUGUACAUAUUGCACGUGUAGGUGAUGUGGUGUGGAAUAAAUACUUCAUUAGCCAGAGUUUAAGUUACUGACUCA